rnacentral:rRNA from 1 species
UACGGAGGGUGCAAACGUUGCUCGGAAUCAUUGGGCGUAAAGCGCACGUAGGCGGACUGUUAAGUCGGACGUGAAAUCCCUCAGCUUAACUGAGGAAGUGCAUUCGAAACUGGCAGUCUUGAGUACGGGAGAGGGUCGCGGAAUUCCCGGUGUAGAGGUGAAAUUCGUAGAUAUCGGGAGGAACACCAGUGGCGAAGGCGGCGGCCUGGACCGAUACUGACGCUGAGGUGCGAAAAGCGUGGGGAGCAAACAGGG